rnacentral:lncRNA from 1 species
AUUUACCUCCUCCUUCUUGAACCCAAGAAGAUGAGCCUUGAAGAUACGAGCCUCCAAGGUCUCUUUACAGUCGACGCGAGUGCUGGCGAGGGCUGUGGCUUCGCAAGUUGAGCUUGGAAUGUUGGCUAGAGUGCUCGAGAAGGGGAAGCCAUGAAAAGGGUCCCGACAUCGAGAGGAGAUGGGUCGAUGUUGGUUCAGCUGCCAGUCAAGCUUGGAAUCAUAGCCAUUUUCUAAAGAGUGUUUGAGAAAUCAUUACAGAAUUCAGAAAGGAGAAAAAGAAAAAAUCAAAAAAAAUUGUGAGGUCAUUUGACCCCUACAUGACCCAACAUGGGUUCACCCUUGAUUCCAAGCAUAAAUAAAAGUUGUGUGUAUCAAUUUCCUUCUUUCAAUUGGAUUUGAUUUUUUAAGUUAUCAAAAUUGAUUUAAGAUGGAAUCAAUGUAACUACCCUUCCA